AUUGAACGCUGGCGGAAGGCCUAACACAUGCAAGUCGAACGAGUGGCGGACGGGUGAGUAAUGUCUGGGAAACUGCCUGAUGGAGGGGGAUAACUACUGGAAACGGUAGCUAAUACCGCAUACAAUCAGAUGUGCCCAGAUGGGAUUAGCUUGUUGGUGGGGUAACGGCUCACCAAGGCGACGAUCCCUAGCUGGUCUGUGAGGAUGACCAGACACACUGGAACUGGGACCCGGUCCAGACUCCUACGGGCGGUAGCAGUGUUGAAUAUUGCACAAUGGGCGAAAGCCUGAUGCAGCCAUCUCGCGUGUAUGAAGAAGGCCUUCGGGUUGUAAAGUACUUUCAGCGGGGAGGCGUUACCCGCAGAAGAAGCCCCGGCUAACGCCGGGCCAGCAGCCGCGUUAAUAC
rnacentral:rRNA from 1 species